ACAACAAGUGUAACACACGUGAUGAAACCUGAUUGGUUCCAAGGCCAUUGAACGGCUCUGAUUGUCCUGCAGACUGCAGAGACCUGUACUUGGUCGCAGGCAGCCUCGCACCAGAUACGCUGAGUGUGCCUUGAAUGUUAAUAGAAGACAAAAUUUAAGCUGUUAAAUGAUAUAGUCUAGAGUGAUCGUGUCAAUUUAGAGCACCUGGAAGAGACCACGCGAUUCAUAUGGAAUUUUUUUAUUGCGAAGGACGUUUUUAAACGUGAACAGUUUUUUGGUGAAUCGUCUUUCAUCGGAGCGAUAUAAAUCUCUGAGAUUUCAUUCAAAUAGCUCAGUUUUUCUUUCGUGUGGCUUUUGGAACCCCGUUAUUUUGUGACUCCAGUGCAGCGACAUUCAAUUUGACCAAUCAGACGCGAACAGAUGAAGAUACCGCCAGCAGAAGUUACCGAGUGUAUAGUGACAACAGACAAGAAGAUAAAAAUGGACACUCUCAUAUGUCAAGCUUGAUCAGGAUAUAGUCAAAAGAUCCUGUGAUAAAGCAGUCUUCAAAUACUACAGUGUCUGAAUUGCAAGCCCUCGGUUGCAAAAAAAUGCAAGUUGUGCUCAAAGAAGUGACCCUCUACUUGAAGAUGAAGAUGUGACAUUUAAACUCUUCUGUUUCUUUGUUUGGUUCAGGCAUUUGCAUGCUUACAUUUGUUUAAAAAAUGCAUUAUUCACUUUUCUUUUUUUUUUCAGAAAAAAAUGCAUUGUAAUUCUUGUGUAUUCAUUGAUGUAAAAUUCUGAACUUUACAGUAAUACAGGUAUAACUGAAAUUUUUUUUUUAUUAUUUAUUUGAAUGUAUUUUGGUCAGAAGAUUAAAUGCUGCUGUGCUUUUUUUAAUGUACUGUAAGAAUAUUUGGAAUGUACACAACAGUAUA